rnacentral:rRNA from 1 species
UACAGAGGUCUCAAGCGUUGUUCGGAUUCAUUGGGCGUAAAGGGUGUGUAGGUGGCGCGCUAAGUCGGGUGUGAAAUUUCGGAGCUUAACUCCGAAGCUGCAUUCGAUACUGGCGUGCUUGAGGACUGGAGAGGAGACUGGAAUUCAUGGUGUAGCAGUGAAAUGCGUAGAGAUCAUGAGGAAGACCAGUGGCGAAGGCGGGUCUCUGGGCCAUUACUGACGCUGAGGAGCGAAAGCGUGGGGAGCGAACCGG